CUGUGAUGUUUACGAAAAUGAGGAUGUUUACAAAAGACCUUCAAUAUAACAGAAAAGGAAAAUCGCUUCAGAUACGACCCAAUGAAAAUGAGAUUUUCGAUAUCCCAUCAAGUAAAUAUCGGCACAAGAGUUCAAUAACUGGAUUUGAAACACAGGACAACAUAAUGACGACUCCUAAAAUCAGUAGCGACUCCUAAAAUCAGUAGCCAAUGAUUUGUACUAUCGAAAUGAAUGAAACCAGUAAUAAUAGGCAAUCCCACACAAGAAUAGCCUCUCUUUGGGAUGGAAAUCCAGUAAAAACCGAGAUGGAAGGGUACAGUCUACGAUGGAGUCAGGCAUUUUAUCAUAUCGAAGCUGUGUAAAUAGAAUAACCUUUUCUUGAGAAGUGUACCUUGAGAUAUUG